rnacentral:tRNA from 1 species
AAGGAUUUAAGUUAAUAUAAACUGUUGACCUUCAAAGUCAAAAAUAGAUUUUGUCUAAGCCUUA